rnacentral:tRNA from 2 species
GCGCCCGUAGCUCAACCGGAUAGAGCACCGACCUUCUAAGUCGGGGUUACAGGUUCGAUUCCUGUCGGGCGUGCCA